rnacentral:rRNA from 1 species
AUGAACGCUGGCGGCGUGCCUAAUACCUGCAAGUCGCGCGAACAGACGAGGAGCUUGCUCCUCUGACGUUAGCGGCGGACGGGUGAGUAACACGUGGAUAACCUACCUAUAAGACUGGGAUAACUUCGGGAAACCGGAGCUAAUACCGGAUAAUAUAUCGAACCGCAUGGUUCAAUAGUGAAAGACGGUUUUGCUGUCACUUAUAGAUGGAUCCGCGCCGCAUUAGCUAGUUGGUAAGGUAACGGCUUACCAAGGCAACGAUGCGUAGCCGACCUGAGAGGGUGAUCGGCCACACUGGAACUGAGACACGGUCCAGACUCCACGGGAGGCAGCAGUAGGGAAUCUUCCGCAAUGGGCGAAAGCCUGACGGAGCAACGCCGCGUGAGUGAUGAAGGUCUUCGGAUCGUAAAACUCUGUUAUUAGGGAAGAACAAAUGUGUAAGUAACUAUGCACGUCUUGACGGUACCUAAUCAGAAAGCCACGGCUAACUACGUG